GUCCGAGUAGCUCAAUUGGAUAGAGCGCUGCCCUCCGAAGGCAGAGGUUGUGGGUUCGACCCCCGCCUCGGACG
rnacentral:tRNA from 4 species